rnacentral:rRNA from 1 species
CUACGGGUUGCUCCAGCUAAGGAUCUUUUACAAUGUACGCAAGUAUGAUAAAGCGAGCCAGAGUGUUUCUUAUAAUUAAGAAACUUUUGUUUGUUGUAAAAAGACAGACGAAUAAGGACUGGGAGAGACCGGUGCCAGCCGCCGCGGUAAUACCGGCGGUCCAAGUCGCAGCCACAAUUAUUAGGUCUAAAACAUCCGUAGCCUGCUAAGUAAGUUUCUUGUGAAAUCUUAUCUCUUAAGGGUAAGGCGUGCAAGAAAUACUGCUAAGCUAGAGACUGGAAGAAGUGGAGAGUACUGUUGAGGUAGUGGUAAAAUAUGUUAAUCUCAAUUGGACUAACAAUAGCGAAGGCACUCCACUAGUACAGAUCUGACAGUAAGGGAUGAAGGCCAGGGUCGCAAAAGGGAUUAGAUACCCGGGUAGUC